GGGGCAAUGGCUCAGUUGGGAGAGCGUCAGACUGAAGUAAUACUUCAUUCAAAGCUUAUCUGAAGGUCCUCGGUUCGAUCCCGAGUUGCCCCA
rfam:Sporothrix schenckii ATCC 58251 unplaced genomic scaffold supercont1.5, whole genome shotgun sequence.